rnacentral:lncRNA from 1 species
AAAAAAAAAAGAGAAAAGUGAAGGGUAUUUGAAAUGUGAUUAAGUAAAAAAAAAAAAAUUACACAUCUUUACCCACUUGCAUAUACAUAUAUAUAAGUAAAUAACUCGAACUAUACUAAGUUUUACUUUUUACAAUAAAGUUAAUAUUUACGUGUAUACUUCAUAUUUAAAUAUUGAAUAAUUUCAACAUUUUUUUUAUUCUUUUUAAUUGUACCACUAGUAAAAAUGUAUAUAUAUAUAUAUAUUAAACCUUAUUGUAAAUAAGUCUAUUAUUGAACGUACCUCGGUUCUUUUAUAUUUUUUUAUGUAAUGGGUAUUUUAAAAUAAAAAUAAAAAAAAAAUUAAUUUGUUAUUAUUGUUUUACUCACUUUUAACUUUUUUCCAUAUGUUCUUUUUUUUUAUUUAUCUUUAAAAAUGAAUAAAAUAGUAAAAUUAAAAAAUUAUAUUCCUAAUAACCAUUUUUUUAAAGACAUGCUACUUUCAAACAUGGGUGAGCGAAAGCAGAUGACACAUUUUUGCGAGAAAAGCAAAAAUUAUAUUCAUUUGAGUUAUAAUAGACUUGGUAUAUAUAAUUUAAAUAACACCAAAACGCAUAAUGUAGUAGAUAAUUGUUGCUUAUCUUUAUUUUUAAAUAAUCAUAUAUUAAUUGACAAUAAAAAAAAGCUAACUGAACAUGUUAGUACAGAAAAAAGUUAUAAAAGUAUAUUUCGUUUUUGGAAUAGAAGUCCCGGAGCAAGAUACCCCAAAAAAGCAAAUAAUGGAGCACGGCCAGACUGUCGUUCUGUACGAAAAAUUAGAAAACGACUUAAAACAGGGAAAUAAACAAAUAUAAGGAAUGAGGUAAAAAUUAUAUCAAGUUAUGUGAAAAUCACAAUCAUGAACAUAUUAAAAAAAAAAAAGAAAAAAAUUACUUUUGUUAAAAACAGUCAUUUGUUUUUAUAAAAAAUAUAGUACAUAUAUAUAUAUAUAUAUUUAUGUAUAUAUGUAAGCUGUUGAUAACCUCCAUAUAUAUUGCUGUAUGAACAGUUUACAUUUUUAAUUUGCAUAUAUCAAUACACUGAAAAAAAGUGAUUAAAACGUUGAAAAUAACUCGUUCAUAAUAAAAUAAUUUUUUUUUAAGUUAAAAAAAAAAGU